rnacentral:rRNA from 1 species
CCCUUAGAUGUUCUGGGCUGCACGCGCGCUACACUGAUGCGCUCAACGAGUUUACGACCUUGCCCGGAAGGGUUGGGUAAUCUUUUUAAAACGCAUCGUGAUGGGGAUAGAUUAUUGCAAUUAUUGGUCUUCAACGAGGAAUUCCUAGUAGACGUAGUUCAUCAGACUGCAUCGAUUACGUCCCUGCCCUUUGUACACACCGCCCGUCGCUCCUACCGAUUGAAUGCUCAGGUGAGCCAUUCGGACUUUCAUCAUGCUGGUUUCCAGUUUUGAUGAAGGAAAGUCUUGCGAACCUUAUCAUUUAGAGGAAGGAGAAGUCGUAACA